rnacentral:tRNA from 1 species
GGAGAUGUGCCGGAGUCCGGCUUAUCGGGCCGCGUUGCUAGCGCGGUGGCGGCAGAAAUGCCGCCCGUGGGUUCGAAUCCCACCGUCUCCGC